GUCUUGUGCUUUGGUUUUUGCAGGUGGUGCACGCAGCCUCGGAGGGGUGAAGCCGCAGGCUGAUGAGCAGUCUGAGAAGGUGCUGUGUGGGCUACCUUUGGAAUGGGAUGAGCGUUUGAGAUAUGAUGAGCGAUGAUGGCCGCAGGGUGUGACUGUGGAAUGUGCG